AGACAAAUCUCUGUGCAGCGGAUGGUGUGUGCAAAGUUCUCAGCCCCACGCUGAGCCACGCGAGCCGGGCUCUGCAGAUGGUCCCCAGACCGUGCAAUUCCCACAAUAUUUCUAUUUACUAAAAGAGAAGAUGCUGCAGCAACUCGCUGCAACUGUCUAAAGACCACUCUGAAACAGGAUUGCUUCGUUUGUCAAGGCGGGCAAAGGACCAAAGGAGCAGGAACCGUGCCUUGAAGAUUCUCCCCGCGCCUUCAGGAGGAUGCUGGGCUGAGCCAAAAUCAAAGUGCUCUGCUGAGCUCACGUUGUGCUGCUGGGGAGUUGGUUUCAGAGGGGUUCCCUCACCCGGUCAGAAAUCUCAGUGGGUACGCAGUAAGGAGGGCGGCUGCCCUUCCUUCCCUUGGUGCCUACAGCUGGCUCGUGUUGUCGGACUCGCAGCUGAUGCCCCUUGGCCGAUCAUGCAUUGCUGA
rnacentral:lncRNA from 1 species